rnacentral:rRNA from 1 species
GACGAACGCUGGCGGCGUGCCUAAUACAUGCAAGUCGAACGCUGAAGGCGGAGCUUGCUUCUCUGGAUGAGUUGCGAACGGGUGAGUAACGCGUAGGUAACCUGCCUGGUAGUGGGGGAUAACUACUGGAAACGAUAGCUAAUACCGCAUAAUAGUAGCUGUUGCAUGACAUUUGCUUAAAAGGUGCAAUUGCAUCACUACCAGAUGGACCUGCGUUGUAUUGGCUAGUUGUUGGGGUAACGGCUCACCUAGGCGACGAUACAGAGUCGACCUGAGACGGGGGGCAGCCAGACUGAGAGUGGGACACGGCCCAGUGUGCUUCAGGUGGCAGCAAGAGUGCAUCGGCGGGAAGGAGUGGAAGACUGACCGAGCAACGCCGCGGGAGUAAAGAGGGUUGUCGGGUCGUAGAUCACGGUUGUAGGGGAGGAACGAGUUUUAGAGUGUAAAGUACAGACUGUGACGGUAACUUACCAGGAAGGAACGGCUAACUACGUG